AUGUGUGCAAGGCACAUUUAUGCCAAUUGGAGAAAGAAGCACAGGGAUCAUGAACUACAAAAAAGAUUUUGGGCAAUUGCCAAGGCUUCAAACAAACAGGAUUUCAAUUACAACAAGGCCAGACUUGCUCAAAAAACCCCUGAUGGUGCAAAAGAUAUUAUAAGGACAGAGCCGGUGCAUUGAGCUAGGGCCUUUUUUCCAUAUGGAUCGAACUGUGAGUCAGUGGAUAACAACCUAUGUGAGUCUUUCAACAAUGCCAUCAUAGAAUCAAGGUUUUACCCCAUAAUAUCACAGCAAGAGAUGAUAAGGAAGAAGAUGUAUGUCAGAAUUCAGGAACAAAGAAGCAAAAGUGAUAAGCGGCAUGGAACAGUUUUCCCUAACAUUUUUAAGAAACUACAGGGCAAUAUCAAGAGAACUCAGUUCUGUGAGGUGCUCUGGAAUGGCAAGGAUGGAUUUGAGGUGAAGCAUUUGACUGGCAGAGGAAGGAGAUACAUAGUUAACCUUGAGAACAAGACAUGCUCAUGUGGUUAUCUACAGUUGGCAGGCCUUCCUUGCUGUCAUGCCAUCUGUGCCAUAUACAAAUGUGGAAGAAAAAUAGAAGAAUUCAUUGACCCCUGCUACUACAUUGAGACUUUCAAGAAAAUAUACGAGCAUUGUCUCCAGCCUGUGGAAGGUGAAGAAUGUUGGCCAGUUUCUCAGAAUCCUAGCCCUGUGGCACCUGGCUAUAUUGCAAUGCCAGGAGCAAGGAAGAAAAACAAUGAUAGGAGGAGAGAAGAGGGGGAAGCACCCAAAGGAAAGAAACUUAGCAAGCAUGGAAUUCAAAUCACUUGUGGAUCAUGUGGGGGUAAGGGACACAACAAAGGAUCUUGUUUAAAGAAUGCUGAUAGAAACAAAAAAACAAAAGCAUUUCUUGGCAAGAGAGGAAGACAACAGAGGGCCAAUGAGGUAAUAUGCAACUGUCCAUUAGCAAUUUUUCCUCUACUAAAUUUUUAA
rnacentral:rRNA from 1 species